rnacentral:rRNA from 1 species
AACGAACGCUGGCGGCAUGCCUAACACAUGCAAGUCGAACGAGACCUUCGGGUCUAGUGGCGCACGGGUGCGUAACGCGUGGGAACCUGCCCUUAGGUUCGGAAUAACUCCCCGAAAGGGGUGCUAAUACCGGAUAAUGUCUUCGGACCAAAGAUUUAUCGCCUUUGGAUGGGCCCGCGUUGGAUUAGCUAGUUGGUAGGGUAAAAGCCUACCAAGGCGACGAUCCAUAGCUGGUCUGAGAGGAUGAUCAGCCACACUGGGACUGAGACACGGCCCAGACUCCUACGGGAGGCGGCAAUGGGGAAUAGUGGACAAUGGGCGAAAGCCUGAUGCAGCAAUGCCGCGUGAGUGAUGAAGGCCUUAGGGUUGUAAAGCUCUUUUACCCGGGAUGAUAAUGACAGUACCGGGAGAAUAAGCUCCGGCUAACUACGUG